rnacentral:rRNA from 1 species
AUCUAAGGCCAUGCCACCCUGAACAUGCCUGAUCUCAUCUGAUCUUGGAAGCUAAGCAGGAUCGGGCCUGGUUAGUACAUGGAUAGGAGACCACCUAGGAAUACCAGGUGCUGUAGGCA